UACGUAGGGGGCUAGCGUUGUCCGGAAUCAUUGGGCGUAAAGAGCGUGUAGGCGGUCCGGUAAGUCCGCUGUAAAAGUCGGGGGCUCAACCCUCGAAAGCCGGUGGAUACUGUCGGGCUAGAGUACGGAAGAGGCGAGUGGAAUUCCUGGUGUAGCGGUGAAAUGCGCAGAUAUCGGGAGGAACACCAAUGGCGAAGGCAGCUCGCUGGGACGUUACUGACGUUGAGACGCGAAAGCGUGGGGAGCGAACAGG
rnacentral:rRNA from 1 species